GAUAAACGCUGGCGGCGUGCUUAACACAUGCAAGUCGAACGAAGUUUUUCUUUCGGGAGGAACUUAGUGGCGGACGGGUGAGUAACGCGUGGGUAACCUGCCCUGUACAGGGGGACAACAGCAGGAAACGGCUGCUAAUACCGCAUAAGCCCUUAGCACUGCAUGGUGCAUAGGGAAAAGGAGCAAUCCGGUACAGGAUGGAUCCGCGUCUGAUUAGCCAGUUGGCAGGGUAACGGCCUACCAAAGCGACGAUCAGUAGCCGAUCUGAGAGGAUGUACGGCCACAUUGGGACUGAGACACGGCCCAGACUCCUACGGAAGGCAGCAGUGGGGAAUAUUGCAAAAUGGAGGGAACUCUGAUGCAGCGACGCCGCGUGAGUGAAGAAGUAUUUCGGUAUGUAAAGCUCUAUCAGCAGGAAAGAAAAUGACGGUACCUGACUAAGAAGCACCGGCUAAAUACGUG
rnacentral:rRNA from 1 species